UACGUAGGGACCGAGCGUUGUCCGGAAUCACUGGGCGUAAAGCGCACGUAGGCGGAUGUGCCAGUCAGGGGUGAAAUCCCGGAGCUCAACUCCGGAACUGCCUCUGAUACAGCACGUCUUGAGUUCGAGAGAGGUGGGGUGGAAUUCCUAGUGUAGAGGUGAAAUUCGUAGAUAUUAGGAAGAACACCGGUGGCGAAGGCGGCCCACUGGCUCGAGUACUGACGCUGAGGUGCGAAAGCGUGGGGAGCAAACAGG
rnacentral:rRNA from 1 species